rnacentral:rRNA from 1 species
GAAGCCGGAAGAGAUUCUGGUGUGCCUUCGGGAACUGUAAGACAGGUGCUGCAUGGCUGUCGUCAGCUCGUGUUGUGAAAUGUUGGGUUAAGUCCCGUAACGAGCGCAACCCUUGUCCUUAUUUGCCAGCGAGUAAUGUCGGGAACUCUAAGGAGACUGCCGGUGACAAACCGGAGGAAGGUGGGGACGACGUCAAGUCAUCAUGGCCCUUACGGGUAGGGCUACACACGUGCUACAAUGGCCGGUACAAAGGGCUGCGAGCUCGCGAGAGUCAGCGAAUCCCUUAAAGCCGGUCUCAGUCCGGAUCGGAGUCUGCAACUCGACUCCGUGAAGUCGGAAUCGCUAGUAAUCGUGAAUCAGAAUGUCACGGUGAAUACGUUCCCGGGCCUUGUACACACCGCCCGUCACACCAUGGGAGUGGACUGCACCAGAAGUGGUUAGCCUAACGCAAGAGGGCGAUCACCACGGUGUGGUUCAUGACUGGGGUGAAGUCGUAACAAGGUAACCGUAAAGGGCG